GAUGAACGCUGGCGGCGUGCCUAAUACAUGCAAGUCGAGCGAACGGACGAGAAGCUUGCUUCUCUGAUGUUAGCGGCGGACGGGUGAGUAACACGUGGAUAACCUACCUAUAAGACUGGGAUAACUUCGGGAAACCGGAGCUAAUACCGGAUAAUAUUUUGAACCGCAUGGUUCAAAAGUGAAAGACGGUCUUGCUGUCACCUAUAGAUGGAUCCGCGCUGCAUUAGCUAGUUGGUAAGGUAACGGCUUACCAAGGCAACGAUGCAUAGCCGACCUGAGAGGGUGAUCGGCCACACUGGAACUGAGACACGGUCCAGACUCCUACGGGAGGCAGCAGUAGGGAAUCUUCCGCAAUGGGCGAAAGCCUGACGGAGCAACGCCGCGUGAGUGAUGAAGGUCUUCGGAUCGUAAAACUCUGUUAUUAGGGAAGAACAUAUGUGUAAGUAACUGUGCACAUCUUGACGGUACCUAAUCAGAAAGCCACGGCUAACUACGUG
rnacentral:rRNA from 1 species